rnacentral:rRNA from 1 species
UACGAAGGAUGCGAGCGUUAUCCGGAUUUAUUGGGUUUAAAGGGUGCGUAGGCGGUCUUAUAAGUCAGUGGUGAAAUCUUGUCGCUUAACGACAAACGUGCCAUUGAUACUGUAGGACUUGAGUACAGAUGCCGAUGGCGGAAUGUGUCAUGUAGCGGUGAAAUGCAUAGAUAUGACACAGAACACCGAUUGCGAAGGCAGCUGACGAAACUGUAACUGACGCUGAUGCACGAAAGCGUGGGGAUCAAACAGG